GACGAACCACACGAACGUUAUUCGGAAUUACUGGGCUUAAAGGGUGCGUAGGCGGCGCAGAAAGUUGGGUGUGAAAUCCCUCGGCUCAACCGAGGAACUGCGCCCAAAACUACUGUGCUUGAGGAAGAUAGAGGUAAGCGGAACUUACGGUGGAGCGGUGAAAUGCGUUGAUAUCGUAAGGAACACCUGUGGCGAAAGCGGCUUACUGGGUCUUUUCUGACGCUGAUGCACGAAGCCAGGGAG
rnacentral:rRNA from 1 species